rnacentral:rRNA from 1 species
GUGCCAGCCGCCGCGGUAAUACGUAGGAGGCAAACGUUGUCCGGAUUUACUGGGUGUAAAGGGUGCUCAGGCGGUCUUGUAAGUUAGAAGUGAAAUCCCGGAGCUUAACUCCGGAACUGCUUUUAAUACUGCAAGGCUUGAGUGCAGAAGAGGCGGAUGGAAUUUCUGGUGUAGCAGUGAAAUGCGUAGAUAUCAGAAAGAACACCAGUGGCGAAGGCGGUCCGCUGGUCUGUCACUGACGCUAAAGCACGAAAGCGUGGGGAGCAAACAGGAUUAGAAACCCUUGUAGUCC